rnacentral:rRNA from 1 species
GGAGUUAGCCGGUGCUUCUUCUGAGAGUAACGUCACAGAUGUAAGGUAUUAACUUACACCCUUUCCUCCUCGCUGAAAGUGCUUUACAACCCGAAGGCCUUCUUCACACACGCGGCAUGGCUGCAUCAGGGUUUCCCCCAUUGUGCAAUAUUCCCCACUGCUGCCUCCCGUAGGAGUCUGGGCCGUGUCUCAGUCCCAGUGUGGCUGAUCAUCCUCUCAGACCAGCUAGGGAUCGUCGCCUAGGUGAGCCUUUACCUCACCUACUAGCUAAUCCCACCUGGGCUUAUCCAUCAGCGCAAGGCCCGAAGGUCCCCUGCUUUCCCCCGUAGGGCGUAUGCGGUAUUAGCAGUCGUUUCCAACUGUUAUCCCCCACAAAUGGGCAAAUUCCCAGGCAUUACUCACCCGUCCGCCGCUCGUCAUCUUCAAAAGCAAGCUUUUGAAAUGUUACCGCUCGACUUGCAUGUGUUAGGCCUGCCGCCAGCGUUCAAUCUGAGCCAGAAUCAAACUCUGA